CGAACGCUGGCGGCGUGCUUAACACAUGCAAGUCGAACGGAAAGGCCCUGCUUUUGUGGGGUGCUCGAGUGGCGAACGGGUGAGUAACACGUGAGUAACCUGCCCUUGACUUUGGGAUAACCUCAGGAAACUGGGGCUAAUACCGGAUAGGAGCUCCUGCUGCAUGGUGGGGGUUGGAAAGUUUCGGCGGUUGGGGAUGGACUCGCGGCUUAUCAGCUUGUUGGUGGGGUAGUGGCUUACCAAGGCUUUGACGGGUAGCCGGCCUGAGAGGGUGACCGGCCACAUUGGGACUGAGAUACGGCCCAGACUCCUACGGGAGGCAGCAGUGGGGAAUAUUGCACAAUGGGCGGAAGCCUGAUGCAGCAACGCCGCGUGCGGGAUGACGGCCUUCGGGUUGUAAACCGCUUUCGCCUGUGACGAAGCGUGAGUGACGGUAAUGGGUAAAGAAGCACCGGCUAACUACGUGCCAGCAGCCGCGGUGAUACGUAGGGUGCGAGCGUUGUCCGGAUUUAUUGGGCGUAAAGGGCUCGUAGGUGGUUGAUCGCGUCGGAAGUGUAAUCUUGGGGCUUAACCCUGAGCGUGCUUUCGAUACGGGUUGACUUGAGGAAGGUAGGGGAGAAUGGAAUUCCUGGUGGAGCGGUGGAAUGCGCAGAUAUCAGGAGGAACACCAGUGGCGAAGGCGGUUCUCUGGGCCUUUCCUGACGCUGAGGAGCGAAAGCGUGGGGAGCGAACAGGCUUAGAUACCCUGGUAGUCCACGCUGUAAACGGUGGGUACUAGGUGUGGGGUCCAUUCCACGGGUUCCGUGCCGUAGCUAACGCUUUAAGUACCCCGCCUGGGGAGUACGGCCGCAAGGCUAAAACUCAAAGGAAUUGACGGGGCCCCGCACAAGCGGCGGAGCACGCGGAUUAAUUCGAUGCAACGCGUAGAACCUUACCUGGGUUUGACAUGGAUCGGGAGUGCUCAGAGAUGGGUGUGCCUCUUUUGGGGUCGGUUCACAGGUGGUGCAUGGCUGUCGUCAGCUCGUGUCGUGGGAUGUUGGGUUAAGUCCCGCAACGAGCGCAACCCUUGUUCACUGUUGCCAGCACGUUAUGGUGGGGACUCAGUGGAGACCGCCGGGGUCAACUCGGAGGAAGGUGGGGAUGACGUCAAGUCAUCAUGCCCCUUAUGUCCAGGGCUUCACGCAUGCUACAAUGGCUGGUACAGGGAGUGGCGAGCCUGUGAGGGUGAGCGAAUCUCGGAAAGCCGGUCUCAGUUCGGAUUGGGGUCUGCAACUCGACCUCAUGAAGUCGGAGUCGCUAGUAAUCGCAGAUCAGCAACGCUGCGGUGAAUACGUUCCCGGG
rnacentral:rRNA from 1 species